GAGGAUUUAGCUUAAUAAAAGUGUUUGAUUUGCGUUCAAAAGAUGCAAGAUAGGUUCUUGUAAUCCUUA
rnacentral:tRNA from 1 species